rnacentral:lncRNA from 1 species
CUUAUUUGUAGAUCUUACUUUGCUGAACAUUAUUGCUGUUUACAGUUUAUCUCUAACUAUAAUAAUAUUCAAGAUAAUAACCAAAAACAGCAAAAUUUCUUCAAAAUUACCAAUUCAGGGGCAGCAACCCAACAACCGAUUGACCGAUUCAUCUGAAAAUUUCAGGGCAGAUAGUUCUUGACCUGAUAAACAUUUUUAUCCCCUGUCAGAUUUCCUCAAAAUGCUUUGGUUUUUGAGUUAUAAGCCAAAAACUGCAUUUUACCCCUAUGUUCUAUUUUUAGCCGUGGCGGCCAUCUUGGUUGGUUGACCAGGUCACGCCACACAUUUUUUAAACUAGAUACCCCAAAGAUGAUUGUGGCCAAGUUUGGAUUAAUUUGGACAAGUAGUUUCAGAGGAGAAGAUUUUUG